rnacentral:rRNA from 1 species
GUGUCAGCCGCCGCGGUAAUACGGAGGGUGCAAGCGUUGUUCGGAAUUAUUGGGCGUAAAGGGCGUGUAGGCGGUCGGAUAAGUCAGAUGUGAAAGCCUUCUGCUUAACGGAAGAAGUGCAUUUGAAACUAUCCGGCUAGAGUACGGAAGAGGAGAGUGGAAUUCCCGGUGUAGAGGUGAAAUUCGUAGAUAUCGGGAGGAACACCGGUGGCGAAGGCGGCUCUCUGGUCUGAUACUGACGCUGAGACGCGAAAGCGUGGGGAGCAAACAGGAUUAGAUACCCUGGUAGUCCACGCCGUAAACGAUGGGCACUAGGUGUAGGAGGUAUUGACCCCUUCUGUGCCGAAGCUAACGCAUUAAGUGCCCCGCCUGGGGAGUACGGCCGCAAGGCUAAAACUUAAAUGAAUUGACGGGG